rnacentral:rRNA from 1 species
GGAAUCUUCCACAAUGGACGAAAGUCUGAUGGAGCAACGCCGCGUGAGUGAAGAAGGGUUUCGGCUCGUAAAACUCUGUUGUUAAAGAAGAACACGUAUGAGAGCAACUGUUCAUACGUUGACGGUAUUUAACCAGAAAGUCACGGCUAACUACGUGCCAG